rnacentral:rRNA from 1 species
UACAGAGGGUGCAAGCGUUGUUCGGAAUUAUUGGGCGUAAAGAGCUCGUAGGCGGUCUGUCGCGUCUGCUGUGAAAACUCAGGGCUUAACCCUGAGCUUGCAGUGGGUACGGGCAGACUAGAGUGCGGUAGGGAGACUGGAAUUCCCGGUGUAGCGGUGAAAUGCGCAGAUAUCGGGAAGAACACCCGUGGCGAAGGCGGUUCUCUGGGACGGUACUGACGCUGAGACGCGAAAGCGUGGGGAGCGAACAGG